GGACCAUGAUGAUGAAGAGGACAGACCAGCCCUGUCCUCAGGAAGCUGACUUCC
rnacentral:snoRNA from 1 species